GGCCGCGAAUUCGCCCUUAGGGUUUGAUCCUGGCUCAGAGUGAACGCUGGCGGUAGGCCUAACACAUGCAAGUCGAACGGCAGCACAGGAGAGCUUGCUCUCUGGGUGGCGAGUGGCGGACGGGUGAGGAAUACAUCGGAAUCUACUCUGUCGUGGGGGAUAACGUAGGGAAACUUACGCUAAUACCGCAUACGACCUACGGGUGAAAGCAGGGGAUCUUCGGACCUUGCGCGAUUGAAUGAGCCGAUGUCGGAUUAGCUAGUUGGCGGGGUAAAGGCCCACCAAGGCGACGAUCCGUAGCUGGUCUGAGAGGAUGAUCAGCCACACUGGAACUGAGACACGGUCCAGACUCCUACGGGAGGCAGCAGUGGGGAAUAUUGGACAAUGGGCGCAAGCCUGAUCCAGCCAUACCGCGUGGGUGAA
rnacentral:rRNA from 1 species